rnacentral:rRNA from 1 species
UGCCCAACAGCUAGCCCCCCCAUCAACCCCAAACCUGCCCUAUUAAUACCCCCAAAUACACCACCCCCAAAUAACAAACCAUUUUUCCACCUGAGUACGGGCGACGAAAAAGGACCCAAGAGCGACAGAGAAAGUACCGCAAGGGAAAGCUGAAAGAGUAAUGAAAUAACUCAGUAAAGCACUGAAAAGCAGAGACCGCCCCUCGUACCUUUUGCAUCAUGAUUUAGCCAGAAACCUUCAGGCAAAAAGCAUUAUAGUUUGAUCUCCCGAAACUAAGCGAGCUACUCCAAGGCAGUCUAAUUUAUAGGACCACCCCGUCUCUGUGGCAAAAGAGUGGGAAGAACUUCGAGUAGAGGUGAUAGACCUACCGAGCCUAGUUAUAGCUGGUUGCCUGAGAACUGAAUAAAAGUUCAGCCCUUCAAAUUCUUCAUUCCAGCUGGCCUAAAGCCUUCCCACCGAACAAAAGAAAUUAAAGGAGUUAGUCAAAGGGGGUACAGCCCCUUUGAAACAAAAUACAACUUUCCAAGGAGGGUAAAAAUCAUAACAAACUCAAAGGCUUGAUGUUCUAGUGGGCCUAAAAGCAGCCACCUGCCCAGAAAGCGUUAAAGCUCAAACAUUACCUAACCAGCCUUCUAAUAAAGAUAAUAUAAUUUCACCCCCCUUUAAACCUACCAGGCCGUUCCAUAACAUUAUGGAAGCGUUUAUGCUAAUAUGAGUAAUAAGAGGACGCACCUCUCCCCGCACAAGUGUAACUCGGAACGAACCCUUCACCGAUCAUUAACGGCCCCAAAACAAAGAGGGCCCUAGGCAAAAAACAAACAACUAGAAAAACCCCUAGUUCCUCACCGUUAACCCCACACUGGUGUGCAAACCGGGAAAGACUAAAAGAAAAAGAAGGAACUCGGCAAACACAAGCCUCGCCUGUUUACCAAAAACAUCGCCUCUUGAGCCCUGAAUAUAAGAGGUCCCGCCUGCCCUGUGACUAUAA